AGAGUUUGAUCCUGGCUCAGAACGAACGCUGGCGGCAGGCUUAACACAUGCAAGUUGAACGGGAUUUGUGUGGUGCUUGCACCAUAUAAUGAGAGUAGCGCACUGGUGAGUAACACGUGGGAACGUGCCUUUUAGUGGGGGAUAACAUCUGGAAACGGAUGCUAAUACCGCAUACGCCCUGAGGGGGAAAGAUUUAUUGCUAAGAGGUCGGCCCGCGGUAGAUUAGGCAGUUGGUGGGGUAAAGGCCUACCAAACCUACGAUCUAUAGCUGGUCUGAGAGGACGAUCAGCCACAUUGGAACUGAGACACGGUCCAGACUCCUACGGGAGGCAGCAGUGAGGAAUAUUGGGAAAUGGAGGCAACUCUGACCCAGCCAUGCCGCGUGAGUGAGAAGGUUUUCGAAUUGUAAAGCUCUUUCGGGUGUGAAGAUGAUGACGGUAACACCAGAAGAAGCCCCGGCAAACUUCGUGCCAGCAGCCGCGGUAAUACGAAGGGGGCGAGCGUUGUUCGGAAUUACUGGGCGUAAAGGGUGUGUAGGCGGUUAAGUAAGAUAGUGGUGAAAUGCCGGGGCUCAACCUCGGAAUUGCCAUUAUGACUAUUUAGCUAGAAUGAUGCAGAGGAUAGCGGAAUACCCAGUGUAGAGGUGAAAUUCGUAGAUAUUGGGUAGAACACCAGAGGCGAAGGCGGCUAUCUGGGCAUUGAUUGACGCUGAGGCACGAAAGCAUGGGGAUCAAACAGGAUUAGAUACCCUGGUAGUCCAUGCUGUAAACGAUGAAUGCUAGUUGUUGGAGGAAUUCAGUGACGCAGUUAACACAAUAAGCAUUCCGCCUGGGGAGUACGGUCGCAAGAUUAAAACUCAAAGGAAUUGACGGGGACCCGCACAAGCGGUGGAGCAUGUGGUUUAAUUCGACGCAACGCGAAAAACCUUACCAGGCCUUGACAUCCCUAUGACCGCUCUAGAGAUAGAGUUUCCUCUUCGGAGGUAUAGGUGACAGGUGGUGCAUGGUUGUCGUCAGCUCGUGUCGUGAGAUGUUGGGUUAAGUCCCGCAACGAGCGCAACCCUUAUCUUUAGUAGCCAGCGAGUAAAGUCGGGCACUCUAGAGAGACUGCCGGGGAUAACCCGGAGGAAGGUGGGGAUGACGUCAAAUCAUCAUGCCCCUUAUGACCAGGGCUACACACGUGCUACAAUGGCGUAAACAAAGAGAAGCGAAGUCGUGAGGCAGAGCGAAUCCCAAAAAUAACGUCUCAGUUCGGAUUGUAGUCUGCAACUCGACUACAUGAAGCUGGAAUCGCUAGUAAUCGCAGAUCAGAAUGCUGCGGUGAAUACGUUCCCGGGUCUUGUACACACCGCCCGUCACACCAUGGGAGUCGGAAAUGCCCGAAGUCGGUGACCUAACCGCAAGGAAGGAGCCGCCGAAGGCAGGUCUGAUAACUGGGGUGAAGUCGUAACAAGGUAGCCGUAUCGGAAGGUGCGGCUG
rnacentral:rRNA from 1 species